rnacentral:snRNA from 1 species
GGAUGUGAGGGCGAUCUGGCUGCGACAUCUGUCACCCCAUUAAUCGCCAGGGUUGAUUCGGCUGAUCUGGCUGGCUAGGCGGGUGUCCCCUUCCUCCCUCACUGCUCCAUGUGCGUCCCUCCCGAAGCUGCGCGCUCGGUCGAAGAGGACGACCAUCCCCGCUAGAGGAGGACCGGUCUUCGGUCAAGGGUAUACGAGUAGCUGCGCUCCCCUGCUAGAACCUCCAAACAAGCUCUCAAAAAACCGCAUCAGUUAUCAGUGAGACCUAAAUAAAAUUGAUCAUGUAUAGUCAGAAUGAU